UAGAGUUUGAUCCUGGCUCAGGAUGAACGCUAGCCACAGGCUUAACACAUGCAAGUCGAGGGGAAACGGCAUUAAGUGCUUGCACUUUUUGGACGUCGACCGGCGCACGGGUGAGUAACGCGUAUCCAACCUUCCCAUGACUAAGGGAUAACCUGCCGAAAGGCAGACUAAUACCUUAUGGUCUUCACUGACGGCAUCAGAUGUGAAGUAAAGAUUUAUCGGUCAUGGAUGGGGAUGCGUCUGAUUAGCUUGUUGGCGGGGUAACGGCCCACCAAGGCAACGAUCAGUAGGGGUUCUGAGAGGAAGGUCCCCCACAUUGGAACUGAGACACGGUCCAAACUCCUACGGGAGGCAGCAGUGAGGAAUAUUGGUCAAUGGACGGAAGUCUGAACCAGCCAAGUAGCGUGCAGGAUGACGGCCCUAUGGGUUGUAAACUGCUUUUGUAUGGGGAUAAAGUUAGGGACGUGUCCCUAUUUGCAGGUACCAUACGAAUAAGGACCGGCUAAUUCCGUGCCAGCAGCCGCGGUAAUACGGAAGGUCCAGGCGUUAUCCGGAUUUAUUGGGUUUAAAGGGAGCGUAGGCUGGAGAUUAAGUGUGUUGUGAAAUGUAGACGCUCAACGUCUGACUUGCAGCGCAUACUGGUUUCCUUGAGUACGCACAACGUUGGCGGAAUUCGUCGUGUAGCGGUGAAAUGCUUAGAUAUGACGAAGAACUCCGAUUGCGAAGGCAGCUGACGGGAGCGCAACUGACGCUUAAGCUCGAAGGUGCGGGUAUCAAACAGGAUUAGAUACCCUGGUAGUCCGCACAGUA
rnacentral:rRNA from 1 species